GUUUUAGGUCUCAGUGUGUGUCUCUUUGGUCGUUUUAGGUCUCUUUGGUAGUUUUAGGUCUCAGUGUGUGUCUCUUUGGUAGUUUUAGGUCUCUUUGGUAGUUUUAGGUCUCAGUGUGUGUCUCUUUAGUAGUUUUAGGUCUCUUUGGUAGUUUUAGGUCUCAGUGUGUGUCUCUUUGGUAGUUUUAGGUCUCUUUGGUAGUUUUAGGUCUCUUUAGUAGUUUUAGGUCUCAGUGUGUGUCUCUUUGGUAGUUUUAGGUCUCAGUGUGUGUCUCUUUGGUAGUUUUAGGUCUCUUUGGUAGUUUUAGGUCUGUUUUGUGACUCUUUGGGGCUGUUUGCCGUCUCUAUGUGACUCCCCAACUCUAGUGUGUGUGUUUCUGAUUCCCAGUACUGAU